rnacentral:ncRNA from 2 species
CCGUCUUAAAUUUGUUCAGGUGCCAAGCUUUGCUUAAUAGGGAACUCCGUGAAAAUCGGAGACGGGCCCGCCGCUGUAAUCGGGGACGAACACCACAAAAUGCCACUAUCCAAUAGUGUAUGGACGGGAAGGUGUGGUCAGUAGAGUAAUCCGAGAGUCAGAAGACCUGCCUGAGCUGAUAGCCAUCC